rnacentral:rRNA from 1 species
GGCUCAGGAUGAACGCUAGCUACAGGCUUAACACAUGCAAGUCGGCGGGGCAGCAUGUAUCUGGCUUGCCAGAUACGAUGGCGACCGGCGCACGGGUGAGUAACGCGUAUCCAGCCUGCCCAUAACCACGGCACAGCCCGUCGAAAGGCGGAUUAAUGCCGUAUGAGGUUCCAGAGUAGCAUUAUUAUGGAACGAAAGGAUUGGCGGUUAUGGAUGGGGAUGCGUCCGAUUAGCUUGUUGGCGGGGUAACGGCCCACCAAGGCGACGAUCAGUAGGGGUUCUGAGAGGAAGGUCCCCCACAUUGGAACUGAGACACGGUCCAAACUCCUACGGGAGGCAGCAGUGAGGAAUAUUGGUCAAUGGGCGAAAGCCUGAACCAGCCAAGUAGCGUGCAGGAUGACGGCCCUAUGGGUUGUAAACUGCUUUUAUAAGGGAAUAAAGUGAGAGUCGUGACUCUUUUUGUAUGUACCUUAUGAAUAAGGACCGGCUAAUUCCGUG